rnacentral:rRNA from 1 species
UACGGAGGGUGCGAGCGUUAUCCGGAUUUACUGGGUUUAAAGGGUGUGUAGGCGGACUGUUAAGUCAGUGGUGAAAUCCCGGGGCUCAACCCCGGAACUGCCAUUGAUACUAUCAGUCUUGAAUACUGUGGAGGUGAGCGGAAUGUGUCAUGUAGCGGUGAAAUGCUUAGAGAUGACACAGAACACCGAUUGCGAAGGCAGCUCACUACGCAGUUAUUGACGCUGAGGCACGAAAGCGUGGGGGAUCAAACAGG